rnacentral:lncRNA from 1 species
CUGACACUGUUUCCACUGUUUCCCCAUCUAUUUCCCAUGAAGUGAUGGGACCAGAUGCCAUGAUCUUAGUUUUCUGAAUGUUGAGCUUUAAGCCAACUUUUUCACCCUCCACUUUCACUUUCAUCAAGAGGCCCUUUAGUUCCUCUUCACUUUCUGCCAUAAGGGUGGUGUCAUCUGCAUAUCUGAGGUUAUUGAUAUUUUUAUUAUUGAAUGGAAGGGGAAAGAAAGAUAAUAACUUAAAAAAUUAUUUGAAUUUUGUUUUUUAUAAAUAAAUAGAAACGUAAGUACGUUUGCAGGCAAAGAAGAAACUACAGCCAAAUGAAAGUUCUGUCACACGGCAAGAUUAGUCUGAUAUUAAAAUAUGACUAGUAAAAUACGAGUACUCCUCCUAGCAACCCUAUAUUAACUUCCGCUUGGAACAGAUAGGAAAACCGAGGCACAAAGAGGUUAAGUAAUUAACUUGAAUGGCAAAACUGGUAUGCAAGACCCAAGAUUUUGAAUCCAGGGCAUCUUGCUGCAGAGCUCCCCCCUCCCCAAAUAUAUGCCAGUUCUAGACCAGACUCACUUGGAAAUCUGAGAUUCCCUUCACUCCUGGUUUGGUCUUGGCCAUGUCUUCUCUUCUCUGGAAGAUCAAUUUUCUCAUUGUUGCCAGGGGAGCCCUCAAAGUUGGGGUGUCAAAGCUGAGUGUUGGUGUCACUGGCAGGAACCACUCUGCCUCACAUGAUGAGUGGAGCUUGUAGGCAGAAACCCAGCACCCCACCCAGGAACAGAUGGAACACUGCUGAACAGCUCUCCUACCAACCGGACCCUGCAGGCUUGGGUGUGCUCAUAAUUCCAGGAACAAUCAUUGCUCUGUUGGGCAGCGCCUCACACAACUCCAGGGGGUGUCCCUCCCAUGCAGAACACUGCUCUCAUCUCUUUCUUUCCCAUUUUGUGAGUUUUUAGCUUUUCUUUCUCUUGGUGUCAUGAAAGGAACUCCUGCCUUUGGCUGUUCCCACUGAAAAGGCAGCAGGGAUAUUCUCUGCCACUUGAUAACCUGCUUUAUCAGAGGAUUACCUCUCAGAGGUAAGGAGACUUGUCAGCCACCUGUUGCUGCAUCCUGUGUGAGUAAAUGUUAAUUAACCUCUAAGUACGAUCUCUAAUUCUGUCUCAUCACCAGUGUGGCCCUGAUGAUACAUUUCUGUUAAGAUGUUAACAGCGCUGCCUGUGAGAAUGCCUACCCUGAGACCCAGCCCUGUAUUCCUGGAAACAGCAGCAGUGGAAGAAGCCUCUGCUCUUGUGCUCCUGGAAAUAUCUUCCUUGCUAGAUGUCCUAUAUAAACAGUUUGAAAGUUUAACUUUUUCUUGUUCCUUCCUAAAAUACAGAUUGUCUUUCAUUAAGUGAAAGCAGCAAACAGUGACCACCAGGAAAACCAUAGCCAGCUCGUGGAAUGGAUCCCAAGCUUGUUUCAUGUCAGACACUCAGGUGAGAUACACUCACUCAGGAGAUGGGCAAUGGUUAAAGCUGUUCCCUCCUGAGACAGGCUGGGACCUGAACCCUGGGAUCCUUUGCUGCAGUGCCUGCACCUGGACAAAUGGUCUCUUUCAGCAACAAAAAACUAAGAAGCUAAAAGGGACUACAACUAGCUGUGUGCCUACACAGUUGGGGCACGUUAUCAAUGAAGAGAUACAAAAAGACCAAAAUGAGCAGAAGCAGGGUACUGGCAUGCACCCUGUACACAGUGCCACCCAGGGGUGGGCAGACCACCUAAGUGACCCCUCCACCCCAACUCCUGGACACACCUCUGCUCUCUUGCCACAUAAGGAACCAGCUGUCUCCUCCUCAGGAAGCCAGCAAAGGAAGCUGUUACUUGUUUUCCCUCCCCUGAGCUGCAGCGCGAAUCCCAAUAAAGCCUUGCCUGACUUUCC